rnacentral:rRNA from 1 species
GAUGAACGCUAGCGGCAGGCUUAAUACAUGCAAGUCGAGGGGCAACAUGGUGUAGCAAUACACUGAUGGCGACCGGCAAACGGGUGCGGAACACGUACAGAACCUUCCUUCGAGCGGGGAAUAGCCCAGAGAAAUUUGGAUUAAUACCCCAUAGUAUAAUGAAGAGGCAUCUCUUUAUUAUUAAAGAUUUAUCACUUGAAGAUGGCUGUGCGGCUGAUUAGGUAGUUGGCGGGGUAACGGCCCACCAAGCCUACGAUCAGUAACUGGUGUGAGAGCACGACCAGUCACACGGGCACUGAGACACGGGCCCGACUACUACGGGAGGCAGCAGUAAGGAAUAUUGGUCAAUGGACGAAAGUCUGAACCAGCCAUGCCGCGUGGAGGAUGAAGGUCCUCUGGAUUGUAAACUUCUUUUAUAUGGGACGAAAAAAGACUUUUCUAAGUCGUCUGACGGUACCAUAUGAAUAAGCACCGGCUAACUCCGUGCCAGCAGCCGCCGUAAAAC